rnacentral:rRNA from 1 species
AUUGAACGCUGGCGGCAUGCCUUACACAUGCAAGUCGAACGGCAGCAUGAUCUAGCUUGCUAGAUUGAUGGCGAGUGGCGCACGGGUGAGUAAUACAUCGGAACGUGCCCUGUAGUGGGGGAUAACUAGUCGAAAGAUUAGCUAAUACCGCAUACGACCUGAGGGUGAAAGUGGGGGACCGCAAGGCCUCAUGCUAUAGGAGCGGCCGAUGUCUGAUUAGCUAGUUGGUGGGGUAAAGGCCCACCAAGGCGACGAUCAGUAGCUGGUCUGAGAGGACGAUCAGCCACACUGGGACUGAGACACGGCCCAGACUCCUACGGGAGGCAGCAGUGGGGAAUUUUGGACAAUGGGGGCAACCCUGAUCCAGCAAUGCCGCGUGUGUGAAGAAGGCCUUCGGGUUGUAAAGCACUUUUGUCCGGAAAGAAAUCGCACUUACUAAUAUUAGGUGUGGAUGACGGUACCGGAAGAAUAAGGACCGGCUAACUACGUG